rnacentral:misc_RNA from 1 species
UUAAAAUUUGGUAGCACUACCGGCUGCGACAAAUACUAAGCCCGCGACAAAUACGGCGUGAACCAAGCCCUCUUGCAGUUUGAGAUUGGAGGUUGUGGGUGUUGGUUGCGAUUCGGGAGAGAAAAUUAAAUGACAAGAAUCGAUUAGAUAGUUUUUGGUGCUAUUACUGAGGUCAGCUUAAUGAGGUAGCAGGUCUAUCCUGCUACUGGCUGCAGGUGGUUGUCAAACAGGCAGUUUCCACUCAUCAACCAUGCUGUUCAACACAAAGUACCUCAGAAGUGACCACAUCACAGGAUUUGAGAACUAUAAGUACAACUCUGUGGACACCAGCCCAUUGAGCAACUAUGUGAUGCACCCAUUCUGGAAUGCUGUGGUCAAGAUCUGCCCGCGCCGGAUUGCGCCGAAUCUGCUCACGCUGACGGGUUUUCUGCUGACGGUGGUGAACUUUGGCCUGCUGACCUUCUACGACUACUACUUCGUGGCGUCUAGCGUGUCCAACAAGCCGGAGGUGCGACCGGUCCCGCGCUGGGUGUGGCUGAUGGCCGCAGUCAACCUCUUCCUGUCUCACACACUCGACGGCAUUGACGGGAAGCAGGCGCGCCGGCUGGGUAUGAGCGGUCCGCUGGGCGAGCUCUUCGAUCACGGUCUCGACUCUUGGAGCUCAUUCUUCAUCCCCAUCACACUAUUCUCCGUGUUCGGCAAGCUCGAGUACAGCAUCCCGCCGAUCCGCAUGUUCUUCUGUAUGUGGAGCGUGUUCAUGUGCUUCUUCCUGUCACACUGGGAGAAGUACAACACCGGACUGCUUUUCCUGCCCUGGGGAUACGAUCUGUCGCAAGUGAGUAUGCUGCUGCUGUACCUCGCCACGUUUUUCGGCGACUACACGGUGUGGAAGUGGUCGCUGUAUAACGCCGCCGACGGCACUCCCAUCAUCACCGCGGGCGCCACGUUCGAGAUACUCAUGUGGGUCGGAUCGCUCGGCUCGGCCCUGCCCGUCACACUGUGGAACAUCUACAAGAGUUACCGGGACGGCACGGGCAAGGGUCGCAGUCUGGGCGCCGCGCUGCUCCCGCUGCUCUCCCCCUGUAUCCUGCUGGGCACCGCCACAGCGUGGGCGCUCCUCUCUCCCAGUGACGUCAUCAACGUCGACCUGCGGCUGUUCACCUACGUCAGUGGCGUGGUGUUCUCCAACAUUUGCUGUCGACUGAUAGUAGCGCAGAUGACCAACACGGACGUACAGCCGCUGAACCGACUGCUGGCGCCGGUGGCAGUCGCCGCUGCCGUGGCGCUACUCAGUCCUCAGUCCUCGGGGGCCGAGAUGGGCGCCCUCUGGACGUUAGCCGUGCUGGUGACGCUCGCCCACCUCCACUACGGUAUCUGUGUGGUACGGCAGAUGUGCCACCACUUCAAGAUCCCGGCUCUCACAGUCAAACAAAGGGUCGAUUGACUAUUAGCCGACGAUGCCUAAACGCUAGAGGAUUUGUAUUGGCCACGCCGCCCGGUCACAGACUGACUCCAGCGCCGCCGUCCCCUGACCCUCCCCGGUCAGCGGCCGCGGCGCCGGAGUCACACACUAGAACUGACGCAAAACGCGCUCCAGUUCAGUUGCACGUUUGAAUCAAGGAACACACACGUUUGGGUUAAUUUUAGCUGUCAGUUUGAAUUGGGGAAUUAUUUUGGGGUUUGUUUAAUUUGGUAGACUUAGUUUCGCUUUAGCUGUUGGGAUUUAUGUGAUCAGGGUGAUUUCGCGCCGCGUGAGACCAAUCGUUAUCAUUUCGUAUGGUAAUCUUCUAGUGUUGGGUAUCGUCCCGAAUCGGAAUGGUAGGGCGUAGUGGGUGGUCACCCACUGGGUUUAAUCAGGUAGUUGACUGGCUCGUGGCCACGGAGGGCUUUGACCUUUGACCUUCAAUCAAUCAUCUGAGGCGUCAGUCUGUGCUGCUAUACCCUGGACAAGGUACCGAUAGGUAGUUUUACUAUUGCUACUCUGUUCAGGGUAGUUCAUACCUAUUUUCCACCCCGGGCUAGGCACAGAUGAGGACGCAGCUCACAAAAAGGUCAUAACGCCCUCCGUGGCCACAGCCUCGGAUGAUGCAUGCUGCAUGAUAGGAAAUUUGGGAUUGGGGAGGGCUCCUAGGUUGGAUGUGUGUCGUCUGAAAACCGCGUCAGGGCUUUAUUUGGGAAUUGGGAAACCGCGUCAGGUAAUCCAUGUGUUAAUUUCCAAUUUGAUACGCACUCAUUGCACGCUAUAAUCGACUAGAUAAGUAGUACAUUGACGAGCACGGUACUGUUUGUGGCAGUCCGUUCCAUGCCGAUCUCCUCUCAUUGUAACCCGCAGUCAGCCAGCGCCGGCUGCCGCCAAUCGGCGCCGUAGUUUAGCCUCUGACGGCGCCGAUCGCUCCCCGAGACGAGACCCGCCUCGCCUCCCGCUCUGCCAGGCUAGUCAUGGAACUGUUCCUCCCGGUCCGAGCGCGCGCCGCUGACAGCGUAUUGUGCUGAGUUUGAGUCACUCGACCAUUCCCGGCAGAGGGAAUUUAGUACCCCCUGUCGGUGCUUCGCGUUAGAUGAUUGCCGAUGAUCUGCUGUAGCCCGCUCCAGCAGUAGUCAGCUGCUUGCAGGGCUGCUCGCAGCGGCCGCCAAUAGCUUGCCUCCGUUCGUUUGCGUUGUUUAAUGUGGAGUGACGCCGUGGUCUGCAUCAGACCUCAAUCCAGCGCCAUAAUCGCCAAGCCAGCGCCAUGAUUGUCGCAGUCAGCGCCACUUUUGUCGCAUCCAGCGCCACUAUGUCGCAGGCAGCGCCACUAUGUCGCAGGCAGCCUCAUCAUUUUUGCGACCAGCGCUAAUCUUGGCGCGGUUGGCACCAUAGUCGCCGCAGCCAGCGCCAUGAUUGUCGCAGUCAGCGUCAUAAUUGUCGCGUUGCCGCUCCGUAUCACUCAUCCCGGCGCGUUCAGACCAUCAUCGUGACUUUCCGCAGGCUCAUGAGCCGUCGUGGCUUCCCGAUGCAUAAUGCGACUCAGUAAAUUGGUGAUUUGUCAUUUGUUUCGUCUCUGAUUGUGAUUGUAUCAGCCAGACCUACCGUGACGAAUUCGUCCGUGUGGCAGGCGUUCCUUUUUGGUACCCUGGUACAGCGAGUUGUGGGUGGUACAUUCGGUAACCAGUACCGGCGACUGGCGAGUCAGAGGUGUGUGUGGACUGUCGACAAACGCUAGCGAUAGGAUGAUUACGUGUAUGUGUGUGUGAGUGUGAUGAGCUGGUCGGCUGGUCCUGAGGUGGACUGGAUCUACGGCGACGGGUGACUAUUGUAUACCGAACAAUAUACCGUCUGUACCGAA